UCCCAUGCUCCACCCACUGAGCUGGCCAGGGGCCCCUGGGUGCCCUUUUAAAACAGAGCCUGAGGUCAGCUGCUCACUGCCACACUACUGACAUUUGGGGCAGGGUCAUGCUUUGUUGGGGAAGGGGGCUGUCUUGUGCACUGAAGGUUUAAUGGCAUCCCGUCUCUACCCACGGGAUACGGAUAAGACUCUCCACCCCCCUCUUCCACCCAAACCGGCUCCAGACAUUGUUAAAUUGCCCCCACUUGAGAAACACUGCAGUAGAAGACCCAAACGGAAGGUGCCAGGAGGGGAGGGGGCCUGGAUGAGCCAGCUCUCGUCUCAAGAGAGGCUGGCUGCUCUCAGAUCUAUGAGCCAAUUUGCUUCUCUGCCUGUAGGCUUCUACAACCUGCAGCCUGUCCAGCAGCUGUCUGCACCCAAGUUCCUAGGUCCACCAGUUUCUGGGAGCUCUACAUUUUGGGAUCUUUUCUCCUGGCCCCCCUACCCCCCAUCACCAGUGGAGUCCUGUUGUGUGUGCAUUUAACGUGCUGGCAAGGAGAUAAAAAGGAAACUGAAAUAGAGCAGGCCCCGCGUAGGCCAUAGGCACCUGAUAUUCAAUACUGUUGGCAAAACCUAAACAAAGACUGGCGUGGGUACUGACCGGAAGAGAAAACUGGCGGCCAGGCACACGGGCCACAAUGGCGCACUCAAUGCAGGUCGUUACAGAAAUGAGAGAAUUAAUGGAGGGCCGUAGUGAAAUAGUGACUCAAGGGUUAGAGGAGCUGAUGAAGUCAUCCACGGAAGACAGCAGAUGAUGGAAAUAAGAACCUACAAAUUGGAUCACCUUAAACUGGCCGAACGCUUCAUUCUGUAACGUAACGGUUCUUCAGAAUGAGAUGUGGGACAUCCGUCACCAAUAUGGCCCAAAGUCAUCCCUUUGGAAUACAGGACACAACUGUACCCAGGAAACGUGGCGCACCUGACUUUUUAGGCAAUUACAAGGGUGACCUGACGGUAUUCAAUUUUGUCUUUCUGCUCUAACUUUACACUCGAACAGCCGACAGCAUGGCCCUCCACCAAGUAUGGAAACAAAACUGAAGCUAACAACCUGAUUGAAGCCGUGUAAAAAACGAUCGUCGUUGAACUAGCUGGAGAAUGGUUCCUGCCUUAAAACAAGACACAACACACACACGCAACACCCACCUACGUACACCUACGUAGUAGGCUUUUUUUUGUUUAUCGCUGCCUUUUUUUCAUAAGCAUAUAGAUGAACCCUGGCCUGAGCACGGUGAUAGCCGUGGGUCAGAACAUCUGGUUCCAUGACUUAUUCAAACAGCGGCUGUUGAAUUUCUCAGCGGAACAGAGGAAAAACACACCUAAUGUAUUAAAUGGGGACCUAUGCCUUGGAAGCAUCUAUUUCCAGUUGCUGAGAAGAGAAAAGAACCAAAGGGGCUCGGAGCUGGUGGGAAACAUGGUCAGCCAAUGACGGGGGGGUGAGUCUUUUGUCAGAUUGUCAGUGUCAAGGUAAGAGGACCGAGGUUUCUCCAGAAUCUGAGAGACUUCUGAAGCCAGGCCCUCUCCACCUGUAUGGGAGGCAGGAAACAGAUUCUCUCUGCUCCAUGGGAAGAAGGCCAGGAAGAGGCAGAAAGCAAGCUUGGCAGGUCAGAGUCAUGGACAGCCAUAGGGAUAGGACCAGAGUCUGGACUUUCAGGCCAGAGUUUGCUUUCAACUUGAAUUUCUCUGAGCAAAAGCUUUACUGACUGGGUGUAAUUAAUAGUAGCACUCCCUUCCUUCUCUUUUGAGAGUGUUCUGAUGUGGAAAUAAAUUCUACGGUCAGUUCUAUUUAUGUCCCACUUCUAAAGGAAGGGAUGCGUUCUUUCUUUCCCAGGUUAUAGCAAAGGUGGAGAACUGUGGACUCAGGGCUCAGAGACAAACUCUGCUGUCAAUACUUCUAUAGACCGUCUGUGUGACCUUGGAGAAGUCAUCUCAUUUCUAUUAAAAAAUGACCAGCAGGUGGACUUUUGCCUUUCCUGGUCUGAGUCUAUAAACAGAUUAGUAAAGUAACAGGGCAGGGGUUUUCCUAGGAAUAAAAGUACUAGAUAAUGACUCUGCAACCAUUUUUAAAUGCAAGGAGCACAAACAGGCUCUUUGAAACCCGAUCUCCCACCUUCUGGGAACUGUGAAUCCCUUAACCUAUUAGCUCCUUACAUCUCCUCCUGGCUUUAAAAUUAAAUCUUAUUCCACAGUGUCA